rnacentral:misc_RNA from 1 species
GAAAUGCGAUAAGUAAUGUGAAUUGCAGAAUUCCGUGAAUCAUCGAAUCUUUGAACGCACAUUGCGCCCCCUGGCAUUCCGGGGGGCAUGCCUGUCCGAGCGUCAUUUCUGCCCUCAAGCACGGCUUGUGUGUUGGGUGUGGUCCCCCCGGGGACCUGCCCGAAAGGCAGCGGCGACGUCCGUCUGGUCCUCGAGCGUAUGGGGCUCUGUCACUCGCUCGGGAAGGACCUGCGGGGGUUGGUCACCACCAUAUUUCACCACGGUUGACCUCGGAUCAGGUAGGAGUUACCGGCUGAACUUAAGC